rnacentral:lncRNA from 1 species
CUUUCUUUCUUUUCUUUUCUUUUGGUCUGACUGGUUAUUUCAAAAAGCUUGUCUUUGGGUUCAGAAAUUCUUUCUUCUGAUUGGUGUAGUCUGUUGCAGAAGCUCUUGAUUGUACUUUUUACUUCAUUGGAUGAGGUUUUAAACUCUAAUAUUUCUGAUUAUUUUUCAUGAUUUCUAUCUAUUUUGAAACUCUUAUUCAUAUCAUGAAUUGUUUUUCUCAUUUCAUUACAUUAUCUAUCUUUUCUCAUGCAUCUUACUAACUUUCAGUCAUUAUUUUUAAUUGAUUUUCAGGCAUUUCAUAGAUGACCUUCAAAUUGGGAUUCAUUUCAGGUGAAUUACCAGGUUCCUUUGGAGAUGUCAUGCUGCCUAGUUUUUCAUGUUUCUGUGUCCUUAUGUUAAUGUCUGUGCAUCUAGUAUAAUAGCCAUUAUUUUAGUUUUAUGUGGUAGCUUUUGUAGGAAAACAUUUACAUUUAGAUGGGAUGAACAGUGUAAGUUAGUCAGGUCUUUGACUUUGUUUUAUAUAAGCUCAUCUAGAGCUCCAUGUGAUUUCUUCAGCUCUAAUGCAUGUACUCUACACAUGAUUUCUUGAGCUCUGAUGAAUGUUGGCAGUGUCUAUGAAUGCAUCGACAGUUUAGGCAACAGCAAUUCAUAAAGAUAGUGGUACAACUUUUUGAGAUGGUACAGGUAUACCUCCUCAGGUCCCAUGGAGUAGUGCUGAGGGUACUGGGUCUUGUGAUGGUGGUAGCCAUGGUCCCAAUGCUGCAGGAUGUGGAAGGAAAUAUCCCCAGUUCCCAUGGAAUAAGUUCAGGUGACCCAGGUGAUUGUGGGGCCAGCUGUGGUCCCAGAACCACAGAAUGUGGAGGAGAAUAUUUGUAGGCUCUUGGGAUGAAUGCAGGUA